rnacentral:rRNA from 1 species
UGGAAGCUAGAUUGACUGAGUGGCGGACGGGUGAGUAACGCGUGGGUAACCUGCCUCACACUGGGGGACAACAGUUAGAAAUGACUGCUAAUACCGCAUAAGCGCACAGUGCUGCAUGGCACAGUGUGAAAAACUCCGGUGGUAUGAGAUGGACCCGCGUCUGAUUAGCUGGUUGGUGGGGUAACGGCCUACCAAGGCGACGAUCAGUAGCCGACCUGAGAGGGUGACCGGCCACAUUGGGACUGAGAUACGGCCCAGACUCC